rnacentral:tRNA from 1 species
GGCGCAGUUCGGUUAGCGCGUUCGACUGGGGGUCGAAAGGUCGGAAGUUCAAAUCUUCUC